GGCCUGUGCCGUCUGAUGAAAGUCGCUCAGAUAUGCACGCGGCAAAUCAUAAUCAGACCAUUUUACUUUCUACCAAAUCUGAUACAGCAGCAGCAGCAUUAUUUGAUGCCACUGUAAAUCAUGAAAAAAGUGGGUAAUGGCUAUUGAAAGAAGCUGAAUGUUAUGAUUUGAUGUGCUGUAAGAAUAUAUAGAAUACAUAGAGUAGCUCUUGACCGCCUUUGUUCUCUUUGGUCUGCCCUGGUACAAAUGGACAAUGAAUCAGCAGGGUUUGGUGUCUUGGAUGUCUGGUUGAUUGAAAAUCUUGAAAUAGUGCCAACUCUGAAGCUGGAUAUUAAAGAACAAAACAUGGACAAAAUGUAUGGAUGGAAAGUCACAUUCUAACUCUGGCAUUUCAAGUAAUCAAAAGUUCUACACACGUGCGGUCUUCACAAAUACAGGAAAUAUACAUCAUGUAAGAAGACAAGUGGCCAAGUGCAAAUACCAGAAGUGUGGGCAUUGGGACAGUCCCUAUAAAGGCCAGCGGACAAGUGUGAGCAGAAGAGCACAGAAGAAACCUCUUUCAUAGUAGAGGUUCAGGAUGAAAAGUGUAUUUGUGUGGAUUUGAAGACGUCUUUACGGACCAGCCUCCACCCUGCAUUCCGCAUGGGCAUCCUCUUGGAAAAUGGCAUAAGGUUUACAAAACAUCAUUGUGGCUGUGGCACCAAUUACUGUUAAUAUAUGUCAAAUGGCUAAAGCAGAGGCUUAGAAGCAGACUGAUCACUCCGAUAACGCCAACUGUCACUCCGUUAGCCGCAGAGCAGCCCCACUGGAAUAAUUAGUCCACUCUCUGUGAAUAAAACAAUAUGAAAACAGCCAAAUUGACAUCCAAAAUAUGGGCUUUGCCUCAGAUGACCUGAAAACAGGCUAUCCCAUAUAGACUAAGUACAAAGGCAACAUCUUCAAACACAGAAUUACAUCAAUACUGAUUCCCCAUAUAUUCAUUUUAUAUUCAUUUAAUGAAAAUCAAAUUGGAUCCUGCUAGUGGGGAAAGCAUAUCACAGUUCUUUGCUUUUUAACAGGCAAAAGUUUUUGGAAUUAUAACUUAUAAAAUGAACAUAGAUUAGAUAACUAUACUGACUUAAAAGUGUUUCUUGAACAAAUGCAAAGGAAAUGAAAAAAAGAUCCACUGACAUAAAACAGUAUAAAAACAAUGUAAUUUAGCUAAAAGGCUAAGAGAAGUAUUUAUAACAGUAUUGAAGAAUUACAUGUAAAUGCGAAUCUUAAAUGAUUAAAUUACUUAAAUGAAAGCUCUAGCACCAAAUACAUACAUUACAGCCAUUUUUCAUCAGUAAAUUCUUCCAAACACAAGGCACUUUUUCAAACGAAAUCAUAGCCCAUAUAUCACAGCAAGUUAAAUUAAAUUAGAUUAAAUUAAAUGAAGUUUAAAUUAAAUGAAGGUGACCUCACUGCUAAAUUCAACAUUAAUCAGUUUGCAGUUUGAAUAUUAGAAUGCAGAUGAUUGAAUCUGCAACCUGUUCAUAUAGUGGCACUUUCCAUGAGUAUAAAAUAGGAUGUGCAACUCUUAAUUUUUUUUAUUUUUGAACAUUUCUAACAAUGAAAGUUAAAUAAACUUAAAAAUUAAAUAGAAAAAAAAAAAGUAUAACAUUAAACAUAAAAAAAAAAACAAUAAAAAAAGGAAAAAAAUGCACCUUUUCAGAAUGGGUACUAGGGUUUCGUAAAAUGGAUGUAAAUUCAGUGUAAAUUAGUUUAGGACCAACUUUUGGGUUACAGUUAAUGAUAAACUUGGUAGAAAAUACAUAUUUGUUUGAAUUUUUUUUUCAACAAUAACUUGGAUGGCCUGUGACAACCCCCAGCAGAUAAAUUCCCACAUUUACCACACAGGCAUAUUUCACAAAAUAUUUUCUGUUGUUUAACAAGUCUAUAGUUUGAUCUUUGUAUUAUAUUUAAUAUUUGUAUUAUAUUUUAUAUUUAUAUAGCUACAUAUGCAGAAAAAACAUAUAGUACUCAUAACCCCACAUUUUUAUUUGUGACUUAGGCUUACAUAAAGGUCACUGGACACAAAGUUUAACAUAUUUGUGGAAUGUUCUGUAUAAUCACCAAAACCAUAGCAAAGAGCUUUAGGAUCUCUCUCUCAAAUUCAAAUUCAAAUUCAAAAUUGCUUUAUUGGCAUGACUGUAAGUAAUACAUAUUGCCAAUGCUUGGAAUACAUACAUACAUACAUAAAAUAAUAAUAAAAACGUCAAAAUAAUAGAAGAAAAUGUUAUAACAUAACAAACUUAAAUAAACAGUGUAACAAAUUAGAACAUGCCUGGACAUUUGAUACCACAGUGUUUUAACACACACACACACAUACACACUGAGGGUCUCUCUCUCUCUCUCUCUCAAAAAAAAAAAAAAAAAAAAAAAAAUCCACUCUUCAUAGAUUUGUAGUUCCUACAAAAGAUUUAGAAAACUCCUUUAUAUAAAACACAGUGGAAGAAUCAAACACUUUUUCAUACAAGUAGGGAAAAGGGAAAAUGCUCUCUGUCUCCCUCUCAAGUGUUUCUCUCUCUCUCUCUCUCUCUCUCUCUCACACACACACACACACACACACACUGCAGGGCAGACAGUCGGGGCACGGCUCAUCUAUGUGAAGCCAGCUGGCUGUGGCGUCCCUGAGAGCCGAGCACUUGUCCCCUGCUGAGUGCAAUUGAGAAACGCAGACCUGCCUUUACUCUGCACACAGCCCAGAGCCAGGCCUGACAGACACUGUCAGUCUGAAACACAGCAACGCAGGGCCCGCGGCCUUAUCCGCACUCAAACAAGCAAACAUACGCAGGGCACUUUUACCUUAGCGUACGUGUUCGCACACUCCGUACACAUUUUUUUUCUUUUCCUGAAAUGAACCCUGACUGUCGGUUCCCGUAAGAAGGGAGGCAGCUAAACGCGAGUGCUAAAUUUGACAAGUGGCUAAAGAUACGCAGGGUGUCUUCACACGAGUGUAAAUGAGUGACACCACCGGAGAUGUGCGUCCGAGAAAUCCACGUGUAAUUGGUGAUGAUGGGAAUGGACACAAGCCACAUGAGACCGCUGACAAAGAACCAGCAUCGCCACCAACAAAGGGCUGGCGGGAGAGAUGACGGCUCUGAAAGGGGCAGGGCAGCUUCAAAGCCCGCCAGAGUCGUUCUUUUCUUCUUCACACACCAAGAGAGCGUCUAAAAAGUGAUAUUUCAGCAUAUCAUUAUCAUUCAGCCUGGAUGAAUUCACAGUCGAAGAUCAAAAGAACAGUUGCAUUAGAGAGAGAUAAAGAUAUAUCAUAAUUACACCGGGUGGGCCGAGACUCGAAUCUAAAUGGGUCACAUCAGACUAUAUGUGUGGACAACAUUACGUUAGAAGUUAAGAUUAGUUAACUUAAAGCUGAAUGAUGAAAGUGUUCAAUAACAGAGGGUUUACAAAGGUAAAGCGAGUUGUAUUCGGCUGGUCAUGUGAUCUCAACAUGUCAGCCCCCAUGAGACGACCCGCUCUAAGAAGAAUAAAAAUGAGCUCAUACAUUCAUCUCAUGCAAUGUACAUGAUUUUCAACACAUUUUUCAAAAGAACUAUUCAUUUCUUUGUGUGUAAAAUGCUUUUAAUGUGCACAUUUAACAAUUUGGUCUUUCACCAGCUUGUAUAUGGUGUUAACCAGCAGAAUUCUGCUGUAGAAUUUUAUUGAUAAUUCAUGUUAAUUGAAUUUGAUAAUCUCCAUUGUUUAAAUAAUCCAAUCAGCUAAUUCGUAUUCAUAUCAGUACCAAAAUGCUGGGUAAAAGAAAUAUUUUUAUCACAGUUUAGGAAGCUAAAGGUUGCUAAACAUCUAGUGACUGAGUGCAGUGAAGAAAGUAAACUGGGUUAGUUUGCUGGAUCAAUGAUAAGGUUAAUGUUAGCUUGUAAAAAUGUUUAGGUUAAAGUUAUGCAUAUGUUAGGCCCCUACCUGUAAAUUUGUAUGUGAUACAUACUAUAUUUUAUCGGUAUGCUUUUUGUGCAUUUAUGAAUUUACCAAGCAGGUGCUCCUUCAAGUGGAUUUGAUAGUACCUGGUUCCCUCUAGUGGUCAGAGAAGGAAUUAUUAGGUUAAAAUGAAAGAACUGAUUUAUCUUAUCAAGUGCAUUGUUCAAUUUCUGGGUAUGGCCUUGUUGGAGCAAGUCAGAUUGACCCUAAUUAGAUUCAAUUCAAUUAAAUAAAAAAAAUUCAACCACUAUUUUUAAGACUGACCCUCCCCCACGCCUGUGGGACAUUUGCAAUAACACAUAUAUAACAAUGAUAUUUGAGUCUAAAUCUAAAGUAAUCUUGACAAACUAUAUAUCAUUUGAAAGUUUUUAGACAGUAGUUUUCAUAUUUGGUGACUGAUAUUUUUCAUAUUUUUUUCAAAAGAAAUGACAGAGCAAUAGAUAAAUAGUGAUAGAUUCUCCAUUUGUGAUAUGGUGCCAAACUAUAACAUAAUCUGGUUCUUUACGUAUGUUUUUAUGUGUUUUAGAGAUUGAAUUCAAAUGAAAUAUUAAGAUUACUGUCCAAACUACUUCUGAAUAGGAUGUCUACUUCAUAAAUAUUUUGAAAAUAAUGGAAAGAUAUGGUUCAGAGAUCACUCAAACCAUAUGGAGUCCUUAUAUGGUCAUUUGAUUUUAAUUAAUCAUAACUAACAUUUCUUUUUCCUGGCAGUUGAGUAUGAGUUUGAAACCUAAAUGUUCCAAAUCCUUGGGUCAAAGUCAGUGUGUGUCUGAAUCAUAUCUGAAUAUAACAAAACGGGAAAUGAAACUUACACGGCUAGACAACUAUCUAAAUAUAAUAACCCCAUGACAUAUUGAGUAAUUAAUGAACUAAUAACCCCAUUGGGCAGGUCUGAACAGAAGGGUUUGGACCAAUCAUUUUGUAGAAUACUUUGCCAUGCUCCUAUCCUAUAAACUGUUGUAUUAUUUUUGCUGGUGGGAUUCUCUGUGAUUGACAUGAGGUCCUCCGGCCGUGAUUAAAGCAUGUUCCAUGGCAUUAUCUGGAGUCUGUCUGGGUUUUUGCUGCGCAGCAAUUUAGAGAACACUAAAGACCUUAUUCCCAAGUGAUAGUGUUCAAACAGGUCGGGACGACGACUGACUCAAAGCCAGUUGUCGACUGUAGACACAGUGCUAAAGUAUAAAUAUUAUUAAGUGUUGAAUGCAUGCUUGGGUUUCGACUGGAGAUGCCUCAAGUAAACUUAAGUCAGGUGCAUAUAGGGUAAAAUCUCCCACAGUCACCAAUGGAGUCUGGAUGUCAUGGAAAAGUUUGGUAUGCACCCAAAAAAAUCUGUCUUAAAAGUUCAUUUUUUGAGAAAUCAAAAAAUAUAAUAUAAAAUAUAUAUAAUCUGUGAUGUUUCACCUUUAAAAAGAAACCAAAUUUAAGUCUGUGUGAAAUAUUCAAGAUUUAUAACAAUUUAGGUUGGAAAAGUCAUUUUCAUGCCUGUGCUCAAAAAGUGGGACUGACUGUUGACAUGUUAAACAGUUUUUUUUUUUUUUUUUCACAAACUUUGAAAAUAAAAAGUUGUUAAACUCAGCAAGACACUGGCACUUCAGGAGUUGAAGAGCUCUGACAUACACCAAAGAAAUGUUGUUAUUUAGUGUCUGUACAGUUUUGAAUAGCUGCCUAUAUGGGUCAAAUUGACCCACGAACAUCAACAUCGUAUAAAAAUUUCUGUGUGUACAUUUCACUACAUAUUGACAUGUUUAAACUUUGCAUGCUUUUCCAUGACCCUAAAUGGGAAAAAGUCACAAAAUUUCAAGAAAAACAACACAUAGUUAAACAGUAUUUCAGAGAGCUUGAAAAAAGAAAUGAUAGCUCAUUUUUACCAUCUGUGGCUGAAAUUUUUUUUUUUCUUUCCGUAUUAAAAUAAGUGGGGAAAAGCUCCUUUUUAGUUUCACAGGGUAGUAAAAAAAAAAAAAAAUGUUAUUAUUUGGGUCUGUACAGUUGCCUUAAAUCAUUAAAAUAUGUGAACAUCACAAACGUAAUAUAAAUUAUGUGUGUUUAUGCAAAACACAUCAGCGUGUUGAAACCUUGCAUGCAUGCGCAACACCCUGAAUGAGAAAAAGUCACAAAAUGUCAAGAAAAAAAAAAAAAAACCAUAUGUUAACCGGUAUUUCAAAAUGUGUCAAAUUGGUCAACAUAACACGAGGGUUAAGCAAUAUGACAAUUUUUGUCUUAAUCUUCAAUUUUCCAUGUCUUGUAUGCAGUUUAUUAAACUGGCUAAACAAACUGCUGUUAAUAACAUGCACAAAGGCUGCACCUGGUAGUCAUGGCAUUUGGAAUGGCAUUUUCACAUCCAUUAAUAAUUACUGUCAUCUGUGUCUUAGGUGCUGGGCCCCUGUGUAGAUGAUCGAGACCAUUCCACUGAUAACUGCAUAGAAUGUGAAAAGUAUACCCAAAUACAAAUGUGGAAGAUUACAGGUCAUAUUUUAUACAGUAUUUUACAAGCAAAGUCCAGUGUUGUUUUGAAUGAUUAAUGAAAUAAUUACCUUUCUUAAUUGCUUACAGCAUUUUUCUGUACAAUUGCAUUUAAAAAAUCCUGUUUAAGUGAAAAGAAAAUCAGUAUAUCAAAGCCUUUUAAAGACAAAAUCAAUUCCAAACUCAAAUUGAUUUGAAAUUUGGAGCAAAAACAGUGACUGUCUUUAUUCAGUUUUACUUUGUUUUUCUGUAGCUGAUGUUGUACUUAAAAUGAACGAUUCCCUCCAAAUCAGUUUCAUUUCCCUCCCCUUCUUAUCCAAACAGAAAAAGGUCACACUACUAAGAACUGACUUUCAUGAGUGUCUCACGCUAUGUAUUCAAAAACACUUUCUGUCAAAUGCCAAUGCCAUCUAUCUAUCUAUCUGCUUGCAGGCUUAAAGGGAUAGUUCGCCCAAAAAUGAAUAUCUGUCAUCAUUUACUCACCCUCAAGUUGUUCCAAAACAGCUUUUUUCCUUUGUAUUUUUUUUGCAUACUAUGGAAGUCAAUGGGGCCCAUCAACUGUUUUGUUACCCAUAUUCUUCAAAAUAUCUUCUGUUCAGCAGAAAAAAGAAAUUCAUACAGGUUUGGAAAAACUUGAGGAUGAGUAAAUGACAGAAUUUUCAUUUUUGGGUGAAGUAUCUUUUUAAUCAGAUAUUUCGAGUGUACCUAACUCUGGUCCAGCAUACAUGUAAUCGGACCAUUGUCCUUGCCGUUGUGUGCAUGCUCAAAAAGGCAGAGGUGAAAUGAGACGUGAUAUUCAAAUAUUUGAUUACUCAUUGAGACAAGUAUACACUUGACAAAAUCAUGCAACAUGGAGUAGCUAGAGGAGACAGGAAAAGCUCUUUAACUUUGUGUCUGAUUGUACUUAAGCAUGAAAUCUAGUGUUGACCUACACUAUAUUAUCUCAGACACUGUCAGCACGAGGCACUGGUCUUGUGACCUGUGUGAACUGUAUCAUAAUGGUAAGCGACUGGUGAUGAUUAGUGACUGGUCUCAAACCAUUAACUUCAAUUACAGUGUAAAAAAAACAGCUGGUUUUCAUGUCUGUAAGUUUUCUCACUGUCACGUUUCCUGGUUGUCAUGUGAUUCCUCUGCACAUCAUGUGAUCAUGUCAUGUGCUUCUUUUACUCGAUGUGUCUGUCUCUCAUUGGUUCAUUGUGUUGAUUAGCUUCAGGUGUGUCUUUGGCUGUGUCCAAAAUCGCCCCCUAUACCCUCAUUCACUAUUCCCUACAUUAGCCCACUAAUAUAGUUCACUUGAAAACGAGUGAGCGAAUUCAGACACUGAGUGUGCCAGAAGAGCUGCCGCUUUUGCAUAGUUUGUAAUUGCUGUUUAAUAAUUAUUUGAAACUUAACAAACUGGCAGCUUUAGCUUCAUUCGGCGUUCAACUUUCACAGUGGAUUAUUUGUAUUCACUUGCCGUUGAGCAUAUUGGU